AAAUUGAAGAGUUUGAUCAUGGCUCAGAUUGAACGCUGGCGGCAGGCCUAACACAUGCAAGUCGAAUGGUAGCACAGAGAGCUUGCUCUCGGGUGACGAGUGGCGGACGGGUGAGUAAUGUCUGGGAAACUGCCUGAUGGAGGGGGAUAACUACUGGAAACGGUAGCUAAUACCGCAUAACGUCGCAAGACCAAAGAGGGGGACCUUCGGGCCUCUUGCCAUCAGAUGUGCCCAGAUGGGAUUAGCUAGUAGGUGGGGUAACGGCUCACCUAGGCGACGAUCCCUAGCUGGUCUGAGAGGAUGACCAGCCACACUGGAACUGAGACACGGUCCAGACUCCUACGGGAGGCAGCAGUGGGGAAUAUUGCACAAUGGGCGAAAGCCUGAUGCAGCCAUGCCGCGUGUAUGAAGAAGGCCUUCGGGUUGUAAAGUACUUUCAGCGGGGAGGAAGGCGAUAAGGUUAAUAACCUUGUC
rnacentral:rRNA from 1 species